UAGUAGUAUUGGUAGUAAUAGUCAUAGUAAUAUGAGUUUCUACCGAUUAUUAUGUGAUUACCAGGUACAAUGCCUCAAAUGCACUAGCUAAAUCAAUUCUGACCACAACCGUCUGAGAUGGAUAUUUUAUUAUUCACAUUUUGUAGAUGAGGAAAUGAGACUCAGAGAGAUUUAGUGACUUGCUCAAGGUCACACAACUUAAAAGUGAAGGAUCUGGAGUCCUAAACUCAACUUGUCCCAUUGUAAGACUGUGCUCUCAACCACUACAAAAAAAGCCUUCCUUGUUCCUUUCCUUCCAUACUACACUAACUCUAUAACACUUCCAAAAAUGCCUGCUUCUCCAGAGUAGUGAGCUUAUUUUGGGGGUUCCCUGAAGAAAGGAUUCCUGAUUCUCACAAAUCCCUACAGUUAGAAACAUCUUCUCAAUUGUUGAUUCUACUGUUGUCUCAGCCCUGCUUCGAGUGGCAAAGUGGCUGAGAUGGUACCUUUCAGCUUAGAACUUUUUGGACCCUGUUAAGCUUAUUCAAAGUACUUAAACAGCAAGUUUUAUCAUUUCAUGGUGACAGGAAGGUAACGCUGGAGGGACCAGCUGCUCCUCCAAGGGCCUUCAGCUGUCUCCUCUGCUAACUGCCCAACAGGUGGACAGAGCUGACCCUCACGGAGGGAAGGUUUCACUUCCAUCAAGUCCUGACUACCCAUCAGCUAUGUCCUCCACUCCCAGGCUUCAGGGAGUCUACAGUUCUGCUGCAGACAAGCUUGUCACAAACAAACAGAUAAUACUACAUGGCAGUUGCAACAAGUGCCCACUUAAUCUUGUUUAGGUUGGUGAUGAAAUGUUUUAGCCAGGUUGGGAAGAAACCAUGGGAUCCACUGAUUACAUCUGGCGCCAACUUUUAAUAAAGUAUUCUUGGGAAUAAGUUUCCCAUCGCAAAGAAAUACAAAUAUUUAAAAAGCAAACAAGUCACGGACUGCUCUCAGACCUGCUGCCAUAUGCUUUGCUUUUUUGAGCUUACGGCUUAACAUUAAAAUAACAGCCUUGCAUUCCUCAAAUAUCUCUACUGCUGUUCCUUACUUCCACUACUUGAAAAGGCUGUCAGCUGCUGUCACUUGGAGGUAUUACCAUAUUAGCCACCACUGUUUACUGCUUACCAUGUGGUAUGGUUAUUAGCUUAAUAAGCCUCCUCUUGGAUGACACCCUAGGCUAUGGAAGAAGGAACCAUACCCUGAGGUCCAAUGCCUAAUGAAAGAGCAUGUGUGUGUGUGUGUGUGUGUGUGUGUGUGUGUGUGUGAGAGAGAGAGAGAGAGAGACAGGGAAUGAUGCUUUAUAAAUAUUGAUGAGAGACACUGAAUUCAAUUGCAUCAGGUUGUACUUUAUCGAUGGUUAAAUGAUCGAAUAUUUUUUAAAGUGCUUUAACCAUUUUAAGGUUCCAUGGGAUAAACAGCUUGGGGUGAAAUCCAGAAAUAUAGUUGGUGUACAAAAGAGCAAGUUUGAGAUCUGCAAGAAGUAAAACACUACAGCAAAGCUCUUUAAUUCACUCUGCAUAAAUAGCUGAGCCUACAAAAGAAAUCUCUAGUCAGAGGUUUCCUGGAUUUUAACAAGAAUUCUCUCGAUGGGAAGAAGUGCCCUUUUCACUUGAAGACAAAGAAAUGUUUGUAAUGGAAAUGUGUGAACCAAUUUUCCAAGGAGAGCUGCUGAAAAGCGCUGAUUAAAAACACAGUGAGGUGAUGAGGCAGUGAAAUAAAGCCAGAGCUGACCCACUUAAAGUUUGUGGCUGCACUUCCUUCUCAAAGUGAAGAGAGCAACCCUGGGCCACCUUCUACAUUCUUUCCCUCCUCCCCAACCCCAAGCAGUCCCUGCCCCCUUUACUGACCCUGCAACUCUGUAGACAGUCAGAACCUUCCAGCGUGCAGGAAUGUUUACUAUUUCUGGCCAUUGUGUACUGGUUACUAAGCUACUGCCACUGAGGAUGAAAUGGUAACCCAGUAGCCCAAAAGACAAAGUCCUUCUCAACAAAGCCUAACCAACAGGCAAUGGAUUACAGUGAUUCAGAGGAAAGAUAAGAAGGAUAGGCAUAAAAAACGGCCCAUCACAAAGAGGACUCACUUUUCCAGCAGCCAUCAGGGACAGAGCAAACUGGUACCACAGGUGGAACUCCUCAAAGGCAAACUUCAUGGCUCUUUCUAGGCACUGGUUGGGAAAGAAAAACAAAUGCAGACAUCUGAGAAUCACGGGUGCCACAACUGCACAAGUGUGAGCUUGUGUCUAUGCACAGUAAGGCAAGUCCCAUAAAAUCUGCUUCCCUUGAAUGCUUAAAACAUAAUCCACCACGAAACGGCUCCUACGGAGUCCCCACACAGGAUGAUGCACCACGCUGGUGGCCAGGACAACCCACAAUUGACCAAAGCUGUGACAAUCCCUGCCCUCAAGUAGCUUUGUAUCUGGCACAGGAAAAGAGGCAAAUACACCAACAACACAAAGACAAAGCCAAACUCAGGAGUGCCCCCAGGGUGAGAAACAGGACUGUGGUGAAGUGAUCCCAGGAAUCAGGAAUGGCAUCAGGGAGAACAGAAACUGAGCUGGGCCUUCCCCAGCCCAGCCCAGCCCCACUAUGAGACACCAUCAAAGGCAGAAACCACAGCUUCUUUAUCUUCUCAGUACUGGUGCACUGCCUGCCAUGGCUAACAGCCUCAUUAAACUCUGUGAAGCACAUUCACCGGAGGCCUAAUUGGUACAGAGCUGCGUUCCAGGUGCUACAGGAAAGAAAAACAGC